rnacentral:rRNA from 1 species
GACGAACGCUGGCGGCGUGCCUAAUACAUGCAAGUCGAACGCAGUGGGGACGGGUGAGUAACACGUGGCUAACCUCCCAUCAAAGGGGAGAACACUUGGAAACAGGUGCUAAACCGCUACUGGUGGAUGAACCCGCGGUGCAUUAGCUAGUUGUUGAGGUACCGGCUCACCAAGGCCACGAUGCAUAGCCGGCCGGAGAGGGUGAACGGCCACACUGGGACUGAGACACGGCCCAGACUCCUACGGGAGGCAGCAGUGGGGAAUAUUCGGCAAUGGGCGAAAGUCUGACCGAGCAACGCCGCGUGAGUGAAGAAGGUUUUCGGAUCGUAAAGCUCUUUUGGUGGGGAAGCGGUAUCUAACGAGAAAGCAACGGCUAACUACGUGCCAGCAGCCGCGGUAAUUC